rnacentral:rRNA from 1 species
GAUGAACGCUGGCGGCGUGCCUAAUACAUGCAAGUCGAGCGAACGGACGAGAAGCUUGCUUCUCUGAUGUUAGCGGCGGACGGGUGAGUAACACGUGGAUAACCUACCUAUAAGACUGGGAUAACUUCGGGAAACCGGAGCUAAUACCGGAUAAUAUUUUGAACCGCAUGGUUCAAAAGUGAAAGACGGUCUUGCUGUCACUUAUAGAUAGAUCCGCGCUGCAUUAGCUAGUUGGUAAGGUAACGGCUUACCAAGGCAACGAUGCAUAGCCGACCUGAGAGGGUGAUCGGCCACACUGGGACUGAGACACGGUCCAGACUCCUACGGGAGGCAGCAGUAGGGAAUCUUCCGCAAUGGGCGAAAGCCUGACGGAGCAACGCCGCGUGAGUGAUGAAGGUCUUCGGAUCGUAAAACUCUGUUAUUAGGGAAGAACAUAUGUGUAAGUAACUGUGCACAUCUUGACGGUACCUAAUCAGAAAGCCACGGCUAACUACGUG